rnacentral:rRNA from 1 species
CUGUUGGCAUGUUUACUUUGAACAAAUCAGAGUGCUCAAUACGGGCGUUUCGCUUGUAUGGUCGUGCAUGGAAUAAUAGAAUAGGACCUUGGUUCUAUUUUGUUGGUUUUCGGAAUCGAGGUAAUGAUUAAGAGGGUCAGACGGGGGCAUUCGUACUGCAACGUGAGAAGGUGAAAUUCUUGGAUCGUCGCAAGACGAACUACUGCGAAAGCAUUUGCCAAGAAUGUUUUCAUUAAUCAAGGACGAUAGUUAGAGGUUCGAAGGCGAUCAGAUACCGCCCUAGUUCUAACCGUAAACGAUGUCAACCAGCGAUCCGCAGGAGUUAUUCAUGACUCUGCGGGCAGCUUCCGGGAAACCAAGUUUUUGGAUUCCGGAGGGAGUAUGGUUGCAAAGCUGAAACUUAAAGGAAUUGACGGAAGGGCCACCACCAGGGAGUGGAGCCUGCGGCUUAAUUUGACUCAACACGGGGAAACUCAUCCGGUCCGGACACCGUGAGGAUUGACAGAUUGAGAGCUCUUUCUUGAUUUGGUGGGCAGUGGUGCAUGGCCGUUCUUAGUUGGUGGAGUGAUUUGUCUGGUUUAUUCCGAUAACGAACGAGACUCUAGCCUACUAAAUAGAAGGCAAAUUAUUCGUUUGCUGUACUUCUU